GUCCCAAUUUUGAUAUUUUUACCUAUAAUGUUGAUUGUUUUGCUCACACAGUGUUCUUAGUAUAAUGGAACUUUAUGUGACAGUCAUACACGUUAGAGGUUUAACAUGUUUAAGAAGCUUUAAAACUAAGCUUACUCUUCUACCAUUUUUUUCCCAUUCGUUUGAUGUUUCUGAGCAUUUGAUUUUGUCAUUUUAUAAGGGAUUUCCGUUUUGAAUUUUCCUUUAAGUUUCUUUUUAUUUUGUUAUUUAUAAUUUACAGCCUUUUAACUUUUCACAUGCAAGUAAAUAAUUUCGCAAGGUAAACAAUGUUUACGAUUGCACAAACUCUCCUAACCUGC
rnacentral:lncRNA from 1 species